rnacentral:misc_RNA from 1 species
AACGCAUCUUGCGCUCCUUGGUAUUCCGAGGAGUAUGCCUGUUUGAGUGUCAUGAAUCAUGUCAAUUUCAAUCGUUUUUGUUUGAAAUUGGAUGUGAAUGUUGUUGCAUUUGUGCAACUCGUUCUAAAUACAUUAGCGGUCUGCCUUGAUCACGCACAAUGUGAUAAGAAAAAGCAUUGUUGAGGUCAAGUCAAGGUUGCUUCUAACGGUCGAAAGACAUAGCAUAUAAUGUCAUCUGACCUCAAAUCAGGUAGGAUUACCCGCUGAACUUAA